rnacentral:rRNA from 1 species
AGCGAACGCUGGCGGCAGGCCUAACACAUGCAAGUCGAACGAACCUUUCGGGGUUAGUGGCGGACGGGUGAGUAACACGUGGGAACGUGCCUUUAGGUUCGGAAUAACUCAGGGAAACUUGUGCUAAUACCGAAUGUGCCCUUCGGGGGAAAGAUUAAUCGCCUUUAGAGCGGCCCGCGUCUGAUUAGCUAGUUGGUUGAGGUAAUGGCUCACCAAGGCGACGAUCAGUAGCUGGUCUGAGAGGAUGAUCAGCCACAUUGGGACUGAGACACGGCCCAAACUCCUACGGGAGGCAGCAGUGGGGAAUCUUGCGCAAUGGGCGAAAGCCUGACGCAGCCAUGCCGCGUGAAUGAUGAAGGUCUUAUGAUUGUAAAAUUCUUUCUCCGGGGACGAUAAUGACGGUACCCGGAUAAGAAGCCCCGGCUAACUUCGUG